GAAGGUAUAGCUCAGUGGUAAAGCACAUGCUUAGCAUGCAUGGAGGUCCUGGGUUCAAUCCUCAUACCUCCA
rnacentral:tRNA from 1 species